CUUUUAUGGAGAGUUUGAUCCUGGCUCAGGACGAACGCUGGCGGCGUGCCUAAUACAUGCAAGUCGAGCGGACCAAUUAG
rnacentral:rRNA from 1 species